rnacentral:rRNA from 1 species
UACGUAGGGGGCAAGCGUUGUCCGGAAUCAUUGGGCGUAAAGAGCGUGUAGGCGGCCAGAUAAGUCCGCUGUGAAAUCUCGAGGCUCAACUUCGAGCUGUCGGUGGAAACUGUCUGGCUAGAGUCCGGAAGAGGAGAAUGGAAUUCCUGGUGUAGCGGUGAAAUGCGCAGAUAUCAGGAGGAACACCGAUGGCGAAGGCAGGUCUCUGGGCUGUAACUGACGCUGAGGAGCGAAAGCAUGGGGAGCGAACAGG